AUGUUACUUUAAAAAAAAAUAUAAAAAAAAUUACACGUCAUAGUAUCUAAGCAACCAAUCAAAAUUCAGCCUUUCUUGUCAAGAUCAAUGUACAUUCUAAUUUUACUGUUUUAACUGUCAGAUUGUCUGCACAGAUUUUCUUUCUUAUUUCAAUUGCAUAGGUGUCAGUGGAAACAGAUCUAGAGAUUGGUUAGAACCGCCUGAGUUGUAGAGGGGAUCAGUGUCAUUGUGGUCAGCAGACUAUUGUUGGAUCAAAACUCGGACUUAACGAUGCAAACGAUAAUUUUGCCAAAUCUAUGUGAGAGAUGGUUGAAUAGUCAAGGCAAACAUUUUCAAGGUGUAAACGUCUCAAAGUUACAUCUUUCAUGCAAAGACUUGGAAUGGAUGACUUUAUUAAAAAAACAUGAACAGCUAGACAUGUCGAGAACAGUGAACAUCAUUUUUCAACCUCGUCACCAAAACGCUUUUUAUGAUCUGCGUGCGUCUCAAGACUUCGCAGCCAAAAGGAAAGUGACUUUAUUGCAGCUGUUGGUCAAAGGGUUAAGAAACGCAAAUACAUCUUUCGACAUGCCAGGUAGCAGGAUCAUUUGUCGCUUUAAAAGAUUGUUUAAUAGAGUUACACAGACAAACAGAUUGAAAGUUUAGUUCUGUGAAUUUUUGAUAGGUACACCAAACAAAGAGCUACUGAUAUGCCAUAAUAGUCAACUUCCCGCUGAGGCGAAAGCUAUAUUUGGGAACUAUUUAUGGAUAGAUCCUGGAAAGGAUGUACAUUUUGAACGUCUUCCUAAACAGGCGUUUAAUAGUCUUGAAAAUAAGGGAAUCAUUCGCGAUUCAGCUACAAUUAAAAUGUUUGAGAAUCAGUAUAUAGGACAGUUUCAUUGUACAGCUACUUUAAGAGGUGAUGUAGCUUUCGACGGUUAUUGGGAUUCCAUAAAUAUUGGGCAAAUAGUACGAGAUUUGAAAGUUACGAACCAGAUGCGUUUGGAGGCUAUAGACGUUUUUUAUAAAAAAAACGAUUACGGUUUUAAUGUACCUGAUGGUAUUGAAUGGAGAAUGUCUGGUAACUGUGAACUGACAUGGAUUUCAAACAUGGAGAUAAUGUCGAACGAUGCAACAUAGAAUUCACAAAUAAAAUUAUUAAGUAAAAAAACUUUCUUAACUAAAUGUAUAAGCUUAUAAGUUUUAACGUAUGUUGUAAUAAAUUAUUUGUCUAAACAUUCAUGUAAAUGUAAUUAAAAUGUAAAUAAUAUUUUGAUUUAAUAUUAAGAUGGAUCUCCUAUAUGAUGACCCCCCCCCCUUUAUUUGCUAUUGACAUAUGUCGCAUACCACUGCAUCAAUUAAAAUAUUUUGCUCUCUGAUGUGUCUGACUAAAGUUAAUAAAAUAUGUUCUAAAAAUAUGAA